GACGAACGCUGGCGGCGUGCUUAACACAUGCAAGUCGAACGCUGAAGACCUGGCUUUUGUUGGGUUGGAUGAGUGGCGGACGGGUGAGUAACACGUGAGUAACCUGCCCUCUUCUUUGGGAUAACGCCCGGAAACGGGUGCUAAUACUGGAUAUUAACUGGUCUUCGCAUGGGGGUUGGUGGAAAGGUUUGUUCUGGUGGGGGAUGGACUCGCGGCCUAUUAGCUUGGUGGUGGGUAGAUGGCCUACCUAGGCUUUGACGGGUAGCUGGCCUGAGAGGGUGACCGGUCACAUUGGGACUGAGGUACGGCCCAGAAUCCUGCGGGAGGCAGGAGUGGGGAAUAUUGGACAAAGGGCGAAAGCCUGAUGCAGCGACGCCGCGUGAGGGAUGGAGGCCUUCGGGUUGUAAACCUCUUUCGCUAAUGGUCAAGCCGCAACUGUGGGUUGUGGUGAGGGUAGUGGGUAAAGAAGCGCCGGCUAACUACGUG
rnacentral:rRNA from 1 species